CUGGAGCUUCAUUGUAUGGUGUGAGUGCCUGUCUGUUUGAUCCUAUACUUAAUUUCAAAUGGACUCGAGAAUGGUCAAAAGAUAUUGGUAGAAGCCUUUGGCUGUUCUUUUGGUUACUGAAUGCAGCUCGCUGAAUGGAUGUAUUUGAUAUUUGUUUCAAGAAAUUAAUGCGGUUCUUGGAGUAAUCCUUUCAUUUAGUUUUCAUCCCAAAUUUUCUCUAUUAUUAGUUGUGGUGAAUUAUUGUGUAUUUCUAGUGAAGAAAGAUUCCUAUGAGUUUCUUACGUACUAGAAGUGACAUGGUAUACUGGUUGAGAUCAUUUGUAGAUGAAAUAGAAGAUAUAUGCUUUUAGGUGAAUCAAACUGUUACUACUCAUUGAUGCUAUUAUUGUCAGCUUUGUUUUUGGUAUCAAUGGCGAUGUAGAAUUAUGCCAUCAUCUUAUUUAAGAAUGAUUGAAAAUCAGAUGUCAACUGCUAUUGGAGCCUUGAGUUUGUUAAUCAGUUGCUGAAGUUGACUUUGAGCAUGUGAUCGGUCCUUUUAGGGAAUGGUUAUAUAAUUAUCUGAAGUAUGCCAAUAUAUAUAAAAGAUUUGCAUAUUUUUAUUGUUAUUAUAUUUUUUUUUCUGCGGCAAUUUAAGAACAUCUUUGAAGCUUCUUUCCUUAUGCUUAUGAAAAUUUUGAGUGUUCUCCCAUUCCUUGUGUUAUUCUUUCCCAAAACUCAUUUUCUUUGGUCUUUCAUAAAAUAUUAAUUUAUAUAGAUUUAAAGUUUAGAAUAUAAGUUCCUUCUCCACAAUACUGGGACCUGACAUAUUUUCAUGCUGUGUUGGUUUAUGAACAGGUGGCUGACUUAAGCAUGUUAAGAGCAGAAACUCACAAAUUUGAGUCUCAUUACCUUGAUAAUCUUAUUGGUAAAUUCAAUAAAAUGUCUCAUUCAUGUAGUAGUUUGUAUACAUUCCAUUUAUUUCAUUUAGUGGUGAGGAAAUCCUUAAUUGAGUGCAGGUGAUGAAAAGGAUUACUAUGAGAGGUCUCCAAUAAAUUUUGUUGAUAGAUUUUCUUGCCCCAUAAUUUUGUUCCAAGGAUUAGAAGAUAAGGUUGUACCCCCUGAUCAAGCUCGUACAAUAUACCAGGCACUGAAGAAGAAGGGUUUGCCAGUUGCUCUUGUUGAGUAUGAAGGGGAACAGCAUGGUUUUCGUAAGGCUGAAAAUAUUAAAUUUACGCUGGAACAAGAAAUGGUGUUUUUUGCACGAUUGGUUGGAAACUUCAAUGUUGCAGAUGAGAUUAAUCCAAUCAAAAUUGACAAUUUUGACUGAUCAUGUAUC
rnacentral:misc_RNA from 1 species